CCCUCUCCUUCCUCCACUCCCCAGCAACCAUCGGCAUCAGCUUCUCCUUCUCUUCGUCCGUUACUCCCGUUGAAGCCCACGCACCUUGUUGCUUUCUCCCACCGCUUCUUCGGUCUCUCCCCUGUGCUGGUCCGCGCUCUCGUCAUGACGAACCACGCCGCCUUUGCUGCCGAGGACGCGGUCACCGCCGUGGCGGCGCCGGCGCAGCCGGGUCGCCAUUUCGCGUCGUUCCCGCCGCGGAGGGCGCGCGACUGCAGGAAGGCCGCCCUGGGCCGCAUGGAUCUCGCCACAUCGGGGGUGCUGAUGGCCGGGUCUCUGCUGGACUCGAUGAAGGCCUCCUCGCCCCGCCACGCCAUGUCCCCCGCCGGCGCCGACCAGGAGUGGAUCGAGAAGCACCCGUCAGCAUUGGAGUGGUUCGAGGGCGUGCUCGCGGCGGCCGAGGGGAAGCAGAUCGUCAUGUUCCUCGACUAUGACGGCACCCUUUCGCCGAUCGUCGAGGACCCCGAACGCGCCGUCAUGACUGAGGAGAUGAGGGAGGCGGUGAGGGGCGUCGCGCAGCAUUUCCCGACUGCCAUCGUGAGCGGGCGAUGCAGAGACAAGGUGUUCAACUUUGUGAAACUGGAGGAGCUGUACUACGCCGGGAGCCACGGCAUGGACAUCAAGGGCCCCACCAAAGUGUCUAACCACAAGGCAAAGGCUGACGAGGUUCUGUGCCAGCCGGCGACCAAGUUCCUGCCUGUCAUCCAGAAGGUGUAUGAGACGCUGACGGCGAAGAUGGAGUCCAUCCCGGGGGCCAUGGUGGAGAACAACAAGUUCUGCCUCUCGGUGCACUUCCGCUGCGUCGAGGAGGCGGAGUGGGACGCUCUGGGCAGGGAGGUGAGGGCGGUGCUGCACGACUACCCGAAACUCUGCCUCACGGAGGGGAGAAAGGUCCUCGAGAUCCGGCCCUCCAUCAAGUGGGACAAGGGAAACGCCCUCGAGUUCUUGCUUGAGUCUCUCGGCUUUGCUGGGCGUGGCGACGUUUUUCCGAUAUACAUCGGGGAUGACCGCACAGACGAGGAUGCGUUCGAGGUGCUGCACAACAUGGGGCAAGGCAUCGGGAUCCUCGUGACAAAGUUUCCAAAGGAGACUAGCGCAUCCUAUUCUCUGCGUGAGCCUGCUGAGUCAUUUUAUGCUUUCUAAAGUUAGCACGGCUAGCUACCUACCUACCUAAAGGAACUACCAUAUAUUGGCACUGUUGCAGUAGUAGAGCUAGCCGUUAGGUGCAUGACAUAUACUACAUGCUCUCGGACUGCUUCCCGGUAAAGGAGUUCCUGCGCAAGCUGGUGAAGAGCAGCGAGACAAAGAAGGGUUAAUUCAUCAGCUAGCAGCCUUCUAGCUCUAACUCAACAUGGAGAUCGAGCAGGCUAUAUAGCUAGCUAGUACAUCAAGUCUAGCUUGUUUCGUUUUUGGACUUGGUGUGUCUUUCGUUUCAUCUAGUAGAACAAUGCAUGCAUGCGUGUUGGUAUCGAUAUAUAAGAUCCAGAUCGAGCAGUGAUCCUUGCUAGGCCAGUAGGCCUUGGCUUUGAAGGUUUCUAUUACUGUAUCCUUCUCGCAAGGUCUUGUAAUUAGCCUUCCGUUAUUAGCUAUGACAGAAAUGGGUGUGACAAAGUAGCCCUCCUUUUUCUCACCCUGCACUAUAAUAGUUGUUCUAUUACUUAUUGCUUCA